UGCAGGGGGUGCGAGCGUUAAUCGGAAUUACUGGGCGUAAAGCGUGCGUAGACGGCUAUCUAAGUCGGGUGUGAAAGCCCCGGGCUCAAACUGGGAAUUGCAUUCGAGACUGAAUAGCUAGGGUGCGGUAGAGGGAAGCGGAAUUUCCGGUGUAGCGGUGAAAUGCGUAGAUAUCGGAAGGAACAUCAGUGGCGAAAGCGGCUUCCUGGACCAGCACCGACGUUCAGGCACGAAAGCGUGGGGAGCAAACAGG
rnacentral:rRNA from 1 species